CUAAAAAAGUCGCGUGCUGCGAUGGAUCGGCCGCCGCCUUCGACAAACAACGCCAAUGAGCGGUAGCCGCAAGAAGUUCGGCGGAAGCAGGCCGCCGUCCGGCACGCCGUCCCUCCCCUUGUCCUGCGCCGUCGUCGUCGUCUCUCUCCUCGCCGGUGCCUCCAUCGUCCACAACAUCUACAAACCCGACCUCACUCUGCCGCUGGUGGAUCCUCCCCCACCCGAUGAAUCCAAGGGAAACAACCUCAAGUAGCUUACUCGAUCGUUCAAAUCGCUCUACUCGACUCCUUUCAUCGGAGAAUUUUUCUUGUAAUCAAUAAAAAAAAAUGCAGUUUUUUGGCUGAUGUUAUCUGGAUCUGCCCUCUCUUUGCCAUGGUUAUGGCUAUAGGAUCGAUCGGUGUUCUGUAUCUGCCUCAGCUUUCGACCACUUCAAUGAACUGUUCGUCCAGUCUUCAUAGGCGAGCUUCACUUCUCUGUGUUCUACACCAGUUUCAGGUUUCAUCAUCUUUUCUGUGCAUUCCUUAUUUCAAUUCAACAGUGUGAUAUUUGUAUGAUCUAAUUCACAAUUGGAAACAAUUUCAUGAAAUUUAGAAUUAGAUCAUUUCAAUUUGUCUCAAUCAAAGAUGGAUGACCUAUGAAUUUCAUCAGUUUUUUUUUUGCUUA